UUUAUAAAGAGUUUGAUCCUGGCUCAGGACGAACGCUGGCGGCGCGCCUAACACAUGCAAGUCGAACGAGCGAGAGAGAGCUUGCUUUCUCGAGCGAGUGGCGAACGGGUGAGUAACGCGUGAGGAACCUGCCUCAAAGAGGGGGACAACAGUUGGAAACGACUGCUAAUACCGCAUAAGCCCACGACCCGGCAUCGGGUUGAGGGAAAAGGAGCAAUCCGCUUUGAGAUGGCCUCGCGUCCGAUUAGCUAGUUGGUGAGGUAACGGCCCACCAAGGC
rnacentral:rRNA from 1 species